rnacentral:lncRNA from 10 species
UGCUGACAAGGCUUCUGGCAAGUGGAGGACCAAGUCACCGUCCACAGGGUGGGGAGAACCAGCAGGAGCAGCGGCCACUUGCUGAGGUCUGGGAGUGACAAGAAGGAAAGAAAGACAGAUGUCUCAGCGGUGGGAGUGGUGGCUGCAUUGGAUACAUCAGCAGCCCUCCUGCCCUCAAACCUUCCCAGCAGGUGCUCCUCAGCCCCAGACCCAAAUCCAGGGAGGCUGCCAGCACCGCCUACCUUUUGGCUUUGUUAGAUCACCCACAGCUUCCCAGUAAACUUCCCCCUUUUGCUGGGAGGUUUCUGCUGAAAGGAUCCCUAUGAAGCAACCAUUUUCUUCCUGCUGUGGCAAAGACUGGUCAUUGUCCCCCAAAACUGUGCUCCCACAUCUGCCUGAGCUGGAACAAGCCUAUAUUUCCCAGCCCACCUCACAGUUAUUAGGUGUUGCAGGAGACUAAGUCCCAGCCGAUGGAAGAGGAGCAGAAAAAACACAGGUGACUUCUGGUCUGGCCUUUGUGGAGAGUGGGUGGCCUCCCACAGGCCCCAGUACUAGGGCAAGGUGCUCUUAGGGUCAAGGAGAUGCUGACCUUGCACUAGCACCACUGUGGGUGAAGACCUCCUUGGAUUUCACAUGCUAAGCGCUUCAUUGCCUCACCCAGUCCCAGCCCCACUGUGAUGGGCAACUAUCCCUCAGAAUGGCACCAGCAUUGGCAGCAAAGUGGAGAGAGAAAACGUCUAGGCCCUCGAAGACGCUGUUAAACUGCAGUGUCCACCAACCCUGAAGGCUCCUGGGCAUCCAGGGGGUUCUUACAGGAGCUAAUAAGCAACCUCACUGUUCAAGGCAGUGUAAGCUGACUUCUCAGAGACUUGCAGCAGAAGGCCUCCUCCCUAACAUACCCUCUAAACCCAUGACAAAGCCAGCUCAGGAGCACCAGUGGGCGAUGUUUCAACUCUAGCUUCCCAGGGAACAUUUCUGUACCAGUGACACGCUCUGUGAGACGACACAGGGCAAUGAACUGAACAGCAGGGAAAAGGUAC